rnacentral:rRNA from 1 species
AUUGAACGCUGGCGGCAUGCCUUACACAUGCAAGUCGAACGGUAACAGGUCUUCGGAUGCUGACGAGUGGCGAACGGGUGAGUAAUACAUCGGAACGUGCCUAGUAGUGGGGGAUAACUACUCGAAAGAGUGGCUAAUACCGCAUGAGAUCUACGGAUGAAAGCAGGGGAUCGCAAGACCUUGUGCUACUAGAGCGGCCGAUGGCAGAUUAGGUAGUUGGUGGGGUAAAGGCUCACCAAGCCGACGAUCUGUAGCUGGUCUGAGAGGACGACCAGCCACACUGGGACUGAGACACGGCCCAGACUCCUACGGGAGGCAGCAGUGGGGAAUUUUGGACAAUGGGCGCAAGCCUGAUCCAGCCAUGCCGCGUGCGGGAAGAAGGCCUUCGGGUUGUAAACCGCUUUUGUCAGGGAAGAAACGCUCUGGGUUAAUACCCUGGGGUAAUGACGGUACCUGAAGAAUAAGCACCGGCUAACUACGUGCCAGCAGCCGCCGUAA